rnacentral:rRNA from 1 species
UCCAGACUCCUAUGGGAGGCAGCAGUGGGGAAUAUUGCACAAUGGGGGAAACCCUGAUGCAGCAACGCCGCGUGAGUGAAGAAGUAUUUCGGUAUGUAAAGCUCUAUCAGCAGGGAAGAAGAAAGACGGUACCUGACUAAGAAGCCCCGGCUAACUACGUGCCAGCAGCCGCGGUAAUACGUAGGGGGCAAGCGUUAUCCGGAAUUACUGGGUGUAAAGGGAGCGUAGACGGUGAUGCAAGUCUGGAGUGAAAGGCGGGGGCCCAACCCCCGGACUGCUCUGGAAACUGUGUAACUUGAGUGCAGGAGAGGUAAGCGGAAUUCCUAGUGUAGCGGUGAAAUGCGUAGAUAUUAGGAGGAACCCCAGUGGCGAAGGCGACUUUCUGGACUGUACCCGACGCUGAGGCGCGAAAGCGUGGGUAGCGAACGGGAUUAGAUACCCCCGUAAC